rnacentral:rRNA from 1 species
UGCUUACACAUGCAAGUCGAGCGGUAAGGCCCUUCGGGGUACACGAGCGGCGAACGGGUGAGUAACACGUGAGCAACCUGCCCCUGACUCUGGGAUAAGCGGUGGAAACGCCGUCUAAUACCGGAUACGACCCGCCACCUCAUGGUGGAGGGUGGAAAGUUUUUCGGUCAGGGAUGGGCUCGCGGCCUAUCAGCUUGUUGGUGGGGUAACGGCCUACCAAGGCGAUUACGGGUAGCCGGCCUGAGAGGGCGACCGGCCACACUGGGACUGAGACACGGCCCAGACUCCUGCGGGAGGCAGCAGUGGGGAAUAUUGCGCAAUGGGCGAAAGCCUGACGCAGCGACGCCGCGUGGGGGAUGACGGCCUUCGGGUUGUAAACCUCUUUUACCACCAACGCAGGCUCGAAGUUUUCUUCGGGUUGACGGUAGGUGGGGAAUAAGGACCGGCUAACUACGUGCCAGCAGCCGCGGUAAUACGUAGGGUCCGAGCGUUGUCCGGAAUUAUUGGGCGUAAAGAGCUCGUAGGCGGCGUGUCGCGUCUGCUGUGAAAGACCGGGGCUUAACUCCGGUUCUGCAGUGGAUACGGGCAUGCUAGAGGUAGGUAGGGGAGACUGGAAUUCCUGGUGUAGCGGUGAAAUGCGCAGAUAUCAGGAGGAACACCGGUGG